GAUUCAUUUAUAGUUGAUGGUGACAAUCGAUAUGGAGGAGAGCCGUUUCUCGAUGGAGAGAUUGUUCCAUACGAUGAGAAGUAUCAUGCGGACUGGUUACGAGAUCAAACUGAUGAGGAUGCUAAGAACCGAGUAGUCAAAAAGAAGCCUAGGAGGAAAAGAAAGAAAAAGUUGAUCUAGUUGGAGAUAUUUGGUAUUUGGAAGUCUUUUUGCUUCAGUGUGGCACUCAAGCUUGAAGAUUUUCUGGAAUGCCUUCUAGUGUUACUAAUUUGAGCUCGUUGUAAAGAAUCCUAGGUGUAAUGUUAGAGAAAAAUUACAUUCAAUAUAUCAGUAUUCAAUAAAUUUGAGGUAUUGAGUAGAUUCCA